UUUGCAUCUCUCGUUAUCGUCUACAAACUAGGAAUAUAUUUCAUGUUGAUAAAAUGCCGACUUUGAAAUGGCGUCUUUUUAUUUUGACCAGAAAGACGUGACGUCAUAUCCCCAGUUUAGCUUGCAUGCGCUGACAAUAGCAACUAUGACGUCAACUGGGUUAAUUAAAGAAACUCUUCCAGACGUCUUAAGGCAUGCCACUAUCAAAGCUACACCAAUAAUACAGUAGUAUUCGCUGCAAUGAUUAAUCCAGUAACAACAGAGGAAACAGCAUUUUGCAGAUAUUGAGAGAUAUAUAUAACUGACGUCAAUUUUUUAUCGUAAUAAUUGAUAAAAAUCAUUACGGUAUCAUUUGAUAGUAUAGAUAAAAUAAAGUUGUUAGGUUUAAUGAUCUUCCUACAUAGACAUGCGAAGAGGACUGUGCAAAAUGGGAUAUCGUUCAGAAUUCAGGCGUCAGGUACAUCAAAACGUUUGAGUAAAUUACGGUUAUUGGCACAUUUCAGCUUACGUUCUUGGCGCGUUUUUGACAUUAAUUUUCAGUCCAAUCAAAACAUUCUCUUUCUGCCAACGAAUGUACACAUUUUGACAGCUUUCAAGAACGCGGUUGCAGAAAUAUUCAAAGAAACCAUUUAUAAAGAAUAAGAAAAUAACUCGAAGUGCUUAACUUGGUUGUCUUGCUUGUCGACAACGUUAACAGCCGUUUUAUUGUGGUAGUGAUGUUGAGUGGCGUUGUGUUUCAUGCUUUUGUUGAAGGGAUAUUUGUCCGAACGAGCAAAGGUCGACACUGAUUGUUCAAAUGUGGUUGGCGGUUAGUCUAACUAAACCCUCCCUAACUAAGGCAUUUCUGAUAUGACAAUGACAG